UCUCUCAUCAGCCUCUCAGUUCAUACCGGCCCAGUUCCAUUUAUUCCCUGCCAGCCUAUCUACACUCUCCCUUAUCCUUGUGACAAUUCCCGUAUAGAUUUAUAUUAAAAAAUAUAAAAAAAGAUCAAAUAGUGACAUCAAAGAGAUGGCUUUUGAGUGUGUCACAGCUUAUAAAGGGAUUUCCUUGCAUCUCUCCCCUCCUCGGUGGGAUGGACCAAGAUGCGAGGAAGGGCAGCAAGUGAAGGAAACGUGGAUACAAUUUGACAACCUGGGACGUACGCCAGAUUGGGAUUUUGGCGCUGAACAUCCUUGAGAGUGAUUUGACUUUGGCUUUGAGAACUGAAUGCCUACUAUCCCCAGCUAUAUAUAUCUUUUUGGACAAACCAACAACAAAACUUGAACAGAUCCAUCAACAGACGCUCUCUGGACCAGCCGCUUGUAAGGACCUCUUGGUUGGAGCUAGCCGUGGGUGCUGACUGGAGUCUCACCUUUGGGCUUACUGGCCCUCUUCCUGCAGAAAAUCAGCAAAGCUCCUGAUAACAUGAUGAAGAAGAGGACCAGAGUCAGACCCAGAUACAGCAGAGCACUUGGGGCUGUUUGAGCAGAAGAACACGUUGGUUUUACACUUCCUGGUUCAUUAUUAAAUAUAUCUGGCAGCAUAAACUGGACUCCAAGGUACAUGAGGGACCUGAGAGAUCAUUCAUGCUGUGUUGUCCAACUAAUGGUGUAGCUGGUGCUGUGUGUUGCUGUCGAGGCUGCUCGCUGGCUUCAGGGGAGGCUGAUGAAGGUGUGGAGCUUAAACUCUGUGAUGUCAUCAGUGUGGAGGCUGAUGAAGGUGUGGAGCUUAAACUCUGUGAUGUCAUCAGUGUGGAGGCUGAUGGGACUGAUGGUGAAGAAGGUCUGAGAGGAGAGGUUGGAGCUGUGAAACAUUAAAAACACAAUCAAACAGUCAGAUAGUGAUUGUAGAGAUCCAAAGAAGUGGUGAUGAUCAGAUGCUCCCUGCAGAGAACUCUGUGCUAACAUCCAUGUGUUUUAAUCCCACAGCUAAAUGCAGAAGGUCAUCAAUGGGUUUGGUGUAACAAGAUUCCAAUCAGCUGCAGUGUGGGACCGUCUGAGUUUAUCACAUAUUUUACACAUCAACUGUUAAAGGAGCAUUUAUCAGAGUUCACAAUGAUGAAAAUAUGCAGCUCUAAAUACAACUGUUAGACUAAACAUGUUAAGUUAUUUGAAACAUCAGCAGCUGUCAGUGAACAGUUAAUAACAUGACUCUCAGUAGAAACUCACCAUCUGUAACUCGGAUCUCAAUCUCCUGGUAUGAUGGUGAGAAUGGGAAAGAUCUGACCAAACAACAUCUGUACCAUCCUGAUUCAGACUGAGUCAGGUUUCUGAUGCUCACAUACAGUAUUGUUUUAAAUACUGGAAAACCUCCUUCUAUAUAUCUGAUGCUGUAUCUGCCUCUCUGAGCUGUGUCCUCUUCUGUGUUAAUGAGAAUGUCUCCUUCUUUACAUUUGUCCUUACAGAAGAUCCUCCUCUUUCCAGAGAAAUAGAAGGAGCAUUUAACUGUGAUGUCUCCUCCUUCAGUUCCUGUACUCUUGAUGAUUUCUGCAUUGAUGAGACCAAUGUUUCCAUCCUGCAGUGCUGUUGAAAAGAUGAACAAUCAAUAGUUACUACUUGCUAUUGAUGUUGCAGUCUAAUUUGUUUCACAUUUACAUUCAUCAUACAUAGAUCCACACAGUCAUACUGGGUGUGAUAAAAUUCCCAGCUUAUGAACUCAUGCUUUGUCAGUUAAGACAUUGGUGCACAGGUCUCAUUCAGGUCUCCAACAUCACCUCAUAACCUUUUCAGGCAGAGGAGUACUUCUACUCUGUCUCCAUAGAAACCACAGCUGUAUGCUGUGUGUGAAUUAAGUAAUUGGGUCAACAAUAAUGAAACACAUGGAAACAGUACUGUGUUCAGACAGAAUGCAAGGUAAAUUUUAGAGGCACCACGAUGGCAUUCUAAUUCAAAUUAGUUUGUGCUGAGUUCAUUGAGUCUUUGAGUCCUGGGUUAAAUAUGUCAUACAAUUUAAAACCAUAUAGUUUGAAGAAGUGCUGGAGAAAUCUAAAACCAAGUAAAUGUGAUUCUGUCAAGACAGAGAGGGUAUCUUUAAAGAUUCUUCAGGGGAAAUAAAAGAUUUAAAGAUUUAAGGGGGUUACAACUAUUAGUGUAUAUGAGUAUUGUUUCCUGCAUAAAAAUUGUAUUUUCAUCUUUUACCUGCUUCUUCGUAUGUGAAAUUACAUUUUCCCAUGCAAAAUGUAUGUUUUAUCCAAUAUUGAUAGCAGGAGGACACAUGCAGUGUCAAAAUAUAAAGAAAUAUAAAAAAAAUCAAGUCAACUAUACAAAUAAUCAUAAAAAUUAGUAGUUUACAGAAUACACAAAAAAUAUUCAUUUUUCAGCUCAAGUCAGCCAAACAAAAUGUUUUGAAAAUGAUGUUAGACAGUUUAGUUUCUCUACUCCUCUGUAAGAUAUCAUUUUUUUGGUGCUAAAAUCGUUAUGUAGUUUUCUUUCUGUUAUCAAUUUAUUUAAA